rnacentral:rRNA from 1 species
GUAGGUGGCAAGCGUUGUCCGGAAUUAUUGGGCGUAAAGCGCGCGCAGGCGGUCCUUUAAGUCUGAUGUGAAAGCCCACGGCUCAACCGUGGAGGGUCAUUGGAAACUGGGGGACUUGAGUACAGAAGAGGAAAGCGGAAUUCCAAGUGUAGCGGUGAAAUGCGUAGAGAUUUGGAGGAACACCAGUGGCGAAGGCGGCUUUCUGGUCUGCAACUGACGCUGAGGCGCGAAAGCGUGGGGAGCAAACAGGGAUUAGAUACCCUGGUAGUCCACGCCGUAAACGAUGAGUGCUAAGUGUUAGGGGGUUUCCGCCCCCUUAGUGCUGCAGCUAACGCAUUAAGCACUCCGCCUGGGGAGUACGGCCGCAAGGCUG